rnacentral:rRNA from 1 species
UACGGAGGAUGCGAGCGUUAUCCGGAUUUAUUGGGUUUAAAGGGUGCGCAGGCGGAGGUGCAAGUCAGUGGUCAAAUUGCGGGGCUCAACCCCGUACUGCCGUUGAAACUGCAUCCCUUGAGUGCGCGAGAAGUAUGCGGAAUGUGUGGUGUAGCGGUGAAAUGCAUAGAGAUCACACAGAACACCGAUUGCGAAGGCAGCUUACAAAUCUAUAUCGGACGCUGAGGCACGAAAGCGUGGGGAGCAAACAGG